rnacentral:rRNA from 1 species
UGAUUUAUAUUAAAUGGCCGCAGUAACCUGACUGUGCUAAGGUAGCAUAAUCAUUUGUUUAAUAAAUUUAAACUAGAAUGAAAGGAAAAAAGUAUAUUAACUAGUUAAUUACAAAUUUUUUGAAAUCCUUUUUAAAGUGCAAAAACUUUAAUUAGUAACAUAAACGAGAAGACCCUAAAAAUUUUAAUCUAUUUUGUUGGGACAAUACUAUUAUAUAAUUAUUAUAUGUCAAACAUUAACUAUGCUAAUUAAUCAAAUAAAAUUACUUUAGGGAUAACAGCAUAAUAACUAUAAAGAGACCUAAUCUAAAUAGUUGCUUGUGACCUCGAUGUUGAAUCAUUUUAACAAAACUUGCAGAAGAGUUUUACCUAUCGUCUGUUCGACGAUUCUACAUUACGUGA